UACGAAGGGGGCCAGCGUUGCUCGGAAUCACUGGGCGUAAAGCGCACGUAGGCGGAUUGCUAAGUCAGGGGUGAAAUCCUGGAGCUCAACUCCAGAACUGCCUUUGAUACUGGCAACCUUGAGUCCGGGAGAGGUGAGUGGAACUGCGAGUGUAGAGGUGAAAUUCGUAGAUAUUCGCAAGAACACCAGUGGCGAAGGCGGCUCACUGGCCCGGUACUGACGCUGAGGUGCGAAAGCGUGGGGAGCAAACAGG
rnacentral:rRNA from 1 species